rnacentral:rRNA from 1 species
GACGAACGCUGGCGGCGUGCCUAAUACAUGAAAGUAGGACGCAGUUGCGAACGGGUGAGUAACGCGUAGGUAACUGCCUAGUAGAGGGGGAUAACUAUUGGAAACGAUAGCUAAUACCGCAUACUAGUAGAUGGACCUGCGUUGUAUUAGCUAGUAGGUAGGGUAAUGGCCUACCUAGGCAACGAUACAUAGCCGACCGUGGUGGAGGAUCGGCCACCCUGGGACUGAGACACGGCCAAGACUCCUACGGGGUGCAGCAGUAGGGAAUCUUCGGCAAUGGGGGGAACCCUGACCGAUCAACGCAGCGUGAGUGGAGAAGGUUUUCGGAUCGUAAAGCUCUGUUGUUAAGGAAGCGGUACUUAACCAGAAAGGGACGGCUAACUACGUGCCAGCAGCCGCGGUAAUUC